AGUAAAUAGAUACCCCGGUAGUCCUAGCCGUAAACGAUACUCGCUAGGUGUCGGCCACGGUGCGACCGUUGUCGGUGCCGUAGGGAAAGCCGUGAAGCGAGCCACCUGGGAAGUACGGCCGCAAGGCUGAAACUUAAAGGAAUUGGCGGGGGAGCACCACAACGGGUGGAGCUUGCGGUUUAAUUGGAUUCAACGCCGGAAAUCUUACCGGGACCGACAGCAACAUGAAGGCCAGGCUGAAGACUUUGCCGGAUUAGCUGAGAGGUGGUGCAUGGCCGUCGUCAGUUCGUACUGUGAAAGCAUCCUGUUAAGUCAGGCAACGAGCGAGACCCACGCCCACAGUUGCCAGCGUACUCUCCGGAGUGACGGGUACACUGUGGGGACCGCCGCUGCUAAAGCGGAGGAAGGAAUGGGCAACGGUAGGUCAGUAUGCCCCGAAUAUCCCGGGCUACACGCGAGCUACAAUGGUUGGUACAAUGGGUAUCUACCCCAAAAGGGGAUGGAAAUCUCCUAAAGCCAAUCUUAGUUCGGAUUGA
rnacentral:rRNA from 1 species